rnacentral:rRNA from 1 species
AUUUGUCUGGUUAAUUCCGAUAACGAACGAGACCUUAACCUGCUAACUAGUUCUCAAUACUCUGUAUUCUGCAACUUCUUAGAGGGACUAUGUAAAUCAAUUACAUGGAAGUUUGAGGCAAUAACAGGUCAGUGAUGCCCUUAUAUGUCCUGGGCUGCACGCGUGCUACACUGAUGCAUACAACAAGUGCCUAGCCAGACAUGGUAUGGCAAUCUCGAAUAUGCAUCGUGAUGGGGAUAGAUCUUUGCAAUUAUAGAUCUUUGACCAAGGAAUUUCCUAUUAAGUGCAAGCAUCAUCUUGCAUUGAUUAUGUCCCUGCCCUUUGUACACACCGCCCGUCGCUCCUACCGAUACCGGGUGAUCCGGUGAACCUUUUGGACUCCGUACGGGGGAAGAUAAGUAAACCAUAUCACCUAGAGGAAGGAGAAGUCCGUAACAAGGUUUCCGUAGGUGAACCUGCRGAAGGAUCA